rnacentral:rRNA from 1 species
GACGAACGCUGGCGGCGUGCCUAAUACAUGCAAGUAGAACGCUGAAGGAGGAGCUUGCUCUUCUGGAUGAGUUGCGAACGGGUGAGUAACGCGUAGGUAACCUGCCUGGUAGCGGGGGAUAACUAUUGGAAACGAUAGCUAAUACCGCAUAACAGUAGAUGUUGCAUGACAUUUGCUUAAAAGGUGCAAUUGCAUCACUACCAGAUGGACCUGCGUUGUAUUAGCUAGUUGGUGGGGUAACGGCUCACCAAGGCGACGAUACAUAGCCGACCUGAGAGGGGGAACGGCCACACUGGGACUGAGAAACGGCCCAGACUCCUUCGUGAGGCAGCAGUAGGUAAUCCGCGGCAAUGGACGGAAGUGUGACCGAGCAACGCAGCGGGGGUGAAGAAGGGUUUCGGAUCGUAAAGAGCUGUUGCAAGAGAAGGACGAGUGUGAGUGUGGAAAGGUCACGCUGUGACAGUAUCUUACCAGAGAUGGACAGCUAACUACGUG